UACGUAGGGGGCAAGCGUUGUCCGGAAUUAUUGGGCGUAAAGAGCGCGUAGGCGGUCCGAUAAGUCGGCUGUGAAAGUCAGGGGCUCAACCCUUGAAAGCCGGCCGAUACUGUCGGACUAGAGUCCGGAAGAGGCGAGUGGAAUUCCCGGUGUAGCGGUGAAAUGCGCAGAUAUCGGGGAGGAACACCAAUGGCGAAGGCAGCUCGCUGGGACGGUACUGACGCUGAGGCGCGAAAGCGGUGGGGAGCAAACAGG
rnacentral:rRNA from 1 species